UUGUGACUGGAAUGGUGAAACUUCCAGGGUCCUUGGACUUUUGAGGCAAUGAUUUUUGGAUUAUAGCACUACAGCCUGCUUCAAGCUCUACUGUUUAUUCAGAAAAUCUUCUUUUCUUUGUCAGGAGCCUUUUCAUGAAUUUUGCAUAAGUUGGCAUAUGCUCCAUAGCUUCCACAAAUGGAAUAUUAAUUUGCAAUUGCUUGAAAAUAUCCAUGAACCUUGCAAACUACCUUUCCUUAUCCCUUUUGGACGGGUUUGGAGGGUAAGGUAGGUUCUUCAACUGCGGUACCUGUUUCUCACCUUUCUCCCUCUUUUUCUCUUCAUUUCUAUUUAUAUCUUCUUUUGAUUUUCUUUUAUUCACAUAGUCACUUUUAUUUUUCUCUUCCUCUUCCUCAUACUCAUUUUUCUCUUUCUUAGUUUCUUUUUUCUCCAAAACUUCCCCAUCCACAACUAGAUUGUCUUCAAUCCCU
rnacentral:lncRNA from 1 species